rnacentral:lncRNA from 10 species
AGAGGUUGUGGUGAGCUGAGAUCGUGCCAUUGCACUCCAGCUUGGGCCAUUCCAACUCCAUCUCAAAAUAAUAAUAAUAAUAAAAAAACAUUAAUUAUGUUCCAGUAAUUUAUCUCUAAUUGCAAUAACUUUAAGUUUCACCUUUUUUACUUGCCUCAUAAAAUGAGAUAUACCAACCAUUGAGAAGCCUUGAAUAUAUAUUCAUGUGUAUUAUGCUGUAAAGAAAACCAUUUGAUACUGUACCUAACAGACAGUCAUUCUAGCAACAGCUAAGUAGGGAAUCCUUGAAUAGAGUCCUAGAAUAUUCAUUUACUUGUUUAUUUCUAUAAUUUGACUGUCCAUUUGUGCAACAAAUAGUUAUUGAACAUUCACUCUGUGCCAGAGCCUGGGGAUACAGGAGGGGAUAUUCUAAACAAAGUCAAUCCUUUCUUAUGGCUUCCCUAGUUUCUAUAGAUUCUAGUAUUAAAGGCUGGACAAAUAAAUAGAUUUAUCAAAGGCAAGGUAGGUAAGUGCUCUGGAGGCAAUGGAAAAUAGAUUAAGAGCAUUAAGUGGGAUAAGAAGAGACAGAGGUGGGAGAAAAGCAUUGCGGUAGGGUGACAUUUCAGCAGAGACUUCAAGGUUGCUAGGGGAAGUCACAUGCUGUUAUGUGAGAAAGCACUCCAGGUACAGAGAGCAGAGGCCAAAGUCCUCCAGCCUGACAUUGGUUGGGGAUUCCUGGGACAGCGGGGAAGCCGGAUUAUCUUAAGCAAGUGAAAGAGGAAGAUGGAGGUGGGAAACCAUGUCAGACAGGAGGUUAGGUGAUGGGCAACUUUGAAGGCCAUUGUAAGGACUUGGCUUUCAUUCUGAGUAAGAUUAAGGAUCCAUUGGAGAGUUUUGAGCAAAGAUUAUGUGAAUUAGAAUACAGAAGUACUUAGAUUUUUACUUUUAAUAUACUUAUUAAGAGAAAUGGGAAAACAAAUUCCUGGGCUCCAUGAAAUACUCGUCCACUCUAUCAGUCAAUGGUAGAUUCUGUCUUGCAGUUCUCCAGGCCCUCUGAACAGCUAUCUAAUGUCCUAAAGUAUUCAUAGAAACAAUAAAAGAUAAGAGAGUAAGAGAAAAGAAGAAAAUAAUUUUAAAAAUUUAAAAAUGUGUUAUUAUUGUUAUUAUUGCCUUAGGACAGGUAAAAGAGGUAAGAGAUCAAGGAGAUAACUCUUGGACAAGUAGAUCUCAUUACAACUUUUAGUACAGUCACAGAUGCUUUACAUGAUCAACUGAAGCAGACUUAGUGUUGCUUUUAAGGAGGACAGCAGGCACAGUCUUAUCAAGUUCUGAAUUUCCUCACUUGGUCAAGCAGUUGCUGUGUGACUUUGAAAGAGUUAUUAAUACAUUAGUAAUCUGUGUUUGUUUCCUCAUCUGUGAAAUUCAGUAAAUCCAUCUUACAUGCUGGUUGUGAGGGGUAGUGACCUGGCAAAUAGUAAUCACAGGCAAGUGUUUGUUGUCAUUGAUAACAAGAUUGGAUUUCUAAGAAGAUGGUGUUGAUUGCAAGAUGGUGUUUAUCAAGAUAUCUUGAUAAGAUAGUUUUUAUUGUGAGAUGCAUUAUUAAGUUGAGCUUUGCUUUAAGCAUAAGAGACUGCAUUAAGUGCACUAAUUGACUUUUAAAUCUAUUUAAUUUUCAGAAAUGUCAAAUAUGAAUAAAAAUAUGAAAUGAAUGGAGGGUUUAUGAUCAGGGAUAUUCUAUGUUACACAUUUACUGCUUUAUCAUUUAAAAUAAGCCCCCAAAUUGAAAGUGAGUCAACAUUUGACAUAUCAGUAUUUUCCAAGGAAUAAUUUGUGUAGCCAGUUUUCAAAACUAGAGGCUAUAAACUACUCUGAUUUUUAAAUGAUAUUGAUAAACAAGGAGACAUUUCAUUUUUUAAAUGACUAAUGUGAUUAUCAAAAUAAAAGAAUAAAAAAUAUAAGACUUGAUUUGACUAAUGGGUAAAACAUGAAUGCCACUAGGUAAGACUAUUUCUAUCAUGACAUUACCUUAAAUUAGAAAUCACUAAUUAUGUAUGCAUGUGCCAAAAUAUAACUACUCUAGCAAGUGAUGAAUUUGCAUAUACAAUGAUUUUAAUCAAGGCACUUCUUUGAUUGUACAAUUAUCUGUUUUGCAUACACAAAAUCUGAAUUCUGUACAUGUGAGUCCUCAUUUGUAUAUGCACCAAAUUAUUUUGUUGGUGCAACUUAGAAAUCUCUACUUGAUAUAUUAGGGCAUUAUUUCUCUUCCAUUUAUAGUAAUAUGUUUUCAGUUUUUAUUAAGUAGUAAAACCAAACUCCCUGGAAAAACAUGGGAGGUGGGCCCUGCCUCUAGUCAUAAUAGAGGGAAAUGCCACUGUAUUUCUAUUCUGUGUUAAGAAAAAGCAAAAAGUUUCUUCUACACACCGUUUGUUCCUUUCUGCCUUCUUAUUUGGAAUGUAUCUCAAAAUUUAAAGAAGACUUUGGUUCACAGAGAGAACCCUUGAGUGGUAAUCAUAUUGAGUUCACUCAAUUUUCCACAUUGUUAGUCUGUAAAUGAUGAGAGUAGGGUGUUGAUCCUUACUACUCUUAAGCAACAGAGAAAAUUUAGAGGUGGUGGAAAGUACCAAAUUUAUAGUCCUAGAGACAAAUAUUCUCUGUAGAGUUCCUGAAAAAAGAAAUAGCCGGAAAAGCAGUGAGGCAAAACUCGUUAUUUCAUUAUGGUCUUGCUGGACAACUGAGACUCCCCUUGGCCCUCAGCGAGAGCAGUGUGCUACAUACAGUAAUCUGGGCACAUUGAUGACCGCAGUGUAAAGCUCUUAGUAAGUGGGAUGUUUGUUUUGUAGUUAAGUCAUCCUGACAGGCCCAUUGGGUCAUAAACCUGCUUACAAUGCAAAGUUAUUCACAACCUCAAAAUGAGACUUCUGUACAUUACAGAUAGGUCAUUGGUAACAGCAGAAGUCUUAGCUUUUUAAUCAUUCAAAUCAAGAUCUUUUCUGCAUAUUUGGGUUUGGUCUUGAGGAUUCAACUGAGAUAAAAUUGUCUCAUAUCAGUAGAUACAAAAUUACCACGGUCCUUCUGUUGUCUACCUGCCUGCAGAUGUGUCCUUGCAAGAAUGGGAUCCUAUGUUAGGUCAAGAGUAGAAUUCUAGCUUGUAAAUUUUCAGUUUUGCUACCUUUGCUGUGACUCUAGGGUAAUUUGAUAAUCAGGCUAUAAAGAGAUCCUUUCAAAGUCUCUGAAUUUUCGAACUUUGAACCUUGCUUUUACGUAACACUGAAUUUUCUAUAAUGCAUUUCUUCUUGGCUACAUAGAUGACCCACUGUUAUUGGAAUAAGCCCAGGUCAAAUUUGUCUAUGAUGUCUCUUCAACAAUAUUUUGUAGUCUGUUUUCUUCCAGUCUUCACUUUCAAUCUCCUCAGGGAGGGAAUAUAUAGUAAUGAAACUAUAUUACAGUAAUUAGAGUCAGCCACAUUGAGACAGCCAAGCAAAAAGGGCUUCCUGGAGAACCUCUGACCAACCUGCACACUGGGAGAAUGGGGUGGAGCCAUGGAAAUUCCUGUCAUUUGCAGAGGGGAGGAGCCUGGUCUCUUAAGUUCCUGUGUGAUGGGGCGGGAGCUGGUUAAUCGGCUUCCCUCUUGCUCAGCUGAAAGUUUUUCUCUUUUUCCUUUUUUACCCAAUAAAUUGUUAUUCUCACCCUUCUAUGUGUCCACGAACCUAAUCUUUCCUGGCCAUGUGACAAGAACCUGGUUUUAGCUGAACUGAGAAGAAAGCCCUGCAACAACAUCUGGUGUGAUAGACUGAACCAUGCCUCCAGGUAUAUUUCAAUGUUUCACUUUCAUCAUAAGAGAACUCUCCCAGUCAACAUGUUCUUAACAGUCUCUGGGGAGCUACUCUGCCACAUGAAUCCCAUUCAGCAUCUGUAUCUGGCCCUAGCAGUUCCCCGAGAAGACAGAUACUUGAGAAGAGGGGAGUCUGGCACAAGGAUGAGAAAAGCCAAAGAAGCAUCACAAUCAUGCUAUAAUCCUCUCUGUGAAAAUUCGUUCUCUGUUUGGACCUGCCUACUUCUCUGAAGUUAAAAUUUUGAAAAUCAACAAAACAGCAAUAAAAUCCCUUUGUAUCCUAUCACGUUUAUGUUAUAUUAUAAAUGCUUUUCUAGAAGUCCCUACCUACAGGUUUUCUGUGCUAAAAAAAAUCCACACCAUAUAAUAGUAUUUUACUAUCUUCUAUAGGUGACUCAUCUUUGUAUCCUUUUUAUAAACUAAUGACCAGCUGCAUUUUAUAUUUAAGUAAAGAAAAAUCUUUAAGAAUUGGAAAAAGUAAUGGGUUAAUAAGAGAUUGAUUUAAACUAAUUAUAAUUAAUAGGAAAAUAAAAAUUUUAAACAUUUAAAAGUUCUAUUGUAUAUAAUAGAAUACUAUACAGCAAAAAAAAAAUAACAAAUGAAACCUUCUGGUCAUGUAAGUCAGUCUGAUGAAUUCAAAAAAUGUCAUUUUGAAUGAGAGAUGCCAGGCAUUAAGGUAUACAUAUUUUAGGAUUCCAGUUAUAUGAACUCCAAGAAUAGACAUGGUAAUAGAAUCAGCAUAGUAGUUAGUUCAGGAAAAGGGAAUGGGGUAUUUUUUAGGAAAAGAAGACAACAUAACUUCCUGGGCAUAUGAAAAUGUACUACUAUAUCUUGAUCUGGAGGUGGCUACAUGGAUGUCUACGUAUGCAAACAGUCAAAUUGCAUUCAAGAUUCAUGUUUGUUGCUGAAUGUAAAUCAUACUUUAAUAAAAAGCAGAA